UUCAAAAUGCUAUUAUAUCAAUCUCAAGUUGGACUCAAGAAGAACUUAAUUGCAAUUUGGAGGCUGCUUGCUUGUUAUGAAUACAAUGAAACAUCAUUCAUUCUUGUCAUUUCUUCUUUAUUGAAAUGAGCAAAACAGGGAAUUCCAGCUAGUGUCCAGAUUUUUUCCUGUGACAAGGAUGCACAGGCUCAGCCUGUUGCUUGGCGAAGUUUUUUCCGGUGCUCCACUAUGCAACUGCACUGGAACUAUGGUGCAACAGGACUUCUAACAGUGGCACAAUCUGAUGUUGAUAAAACCAACCAGAGUUACUAUGGUGAAUCGAAGCUGAAUUACCUGACAAUUGAUGGGAGCCAUGAAGGACUUGUGCCUCUACGUAUGAUUUUCAAGUUAAUUGGCUGACCUUAUUAAUCUUUCUUUGUUUGCAUUUGCAAGUGAAAUUGCUGAUUUUAUAGAUCGGUUGUAGGUAAAGAAGGGCCUAUUCAUGAUUAGUGGGUCUUUGGCCAGUUUAUUUUUAUGUGCAAUCUUGCAUUUAAGCAUGUAGCAAGCUGGUUGUGUGCAUGUUUAUGCAAAAUCAUCAUGCCAUUAUUUUUAGUC